AUGGACAUGAGGGCCCUUGCUCAGCUCCUCGGGCUCCUGUUGCUCUGGUUUCCAGGUACCAGAUGUGACAUCCAGAUGACUCAGUCUCCAUCCUUCCUGUCUGCAUCUCUGGGAGACAGAGUCACCAUCACUUGCAGGGCAAGUCGGGGCAUUCAUGACCAUUUAAGCUGGCUGCAGCUGAAACCAGGGGAAGCUCCUAAGAGACUGAUCUAUGGUGCAUCCAUCUUGGCAGAUGGAGUCACAUCGAGGUUCAGUGGCAGUGAGUCUGGCACAGAUUAUUCUCUCACCAUCAGCAACCUGGGGUCUAAAGAUACUGCAUCUUACUACUGUGUCCAGUAUGAUGAGUACCCUCCCACAGUGACACACGUCAUAACAGAAACCUCCACGGAAGCAGAAGUGAGAGGCCGGGCUGCCUCAGCUGCUCCUCCUCAUGAGUAA